UACGUAGGGUGCAAGCGUUAAUCGGAAUUACUGGGCGUAAAGCGUGCGCAGGCGGUGAUGUAAGACAGAUGUGAAAUCCCUCGGCUUAACCGGGGAACUGCAUCUGAUACUGGAUGGCUUGAGUUCGGGAGAGGGAUGCGGAAUUCCAGGUGUAGCGGUGAAAUGCGUAGAUAUCUGGAGGAACACCGGUGGCGAAGGCGGCAUCCUGGACCGGCACUGACGCUGAGGAGCGAAAGCCAGGGGAGCAAACGGG
rnacentral:rRNA from 1 species